AGUAGCCGCGGUAAUUCCAGCUCCAAUAGCGUAUAUUAAAGUUGUUGCAGUUAAAAAGCUCGUAGUUGAAUUUCGGGAUCAGUAUGUUGGUCGUGCUUCGGUACGUACUGUCAUUACUGGUUUCUACCUUCUGAAGAACCUUGAUGUCAUUAAUUUGGUGUCUUGGGGAAUCAGGACUGUUACUUUGAAAAAAUUAGAGUGUUUAAAGCAAGCAUACGCUUGAAUACAUUAGCAUGGAAUAAUGAAAUAGGACGUUUGAUUCUAUUUUGUUGGUUUCUAGGAUCGACGUAAUGAUUAAUAGGGAUAGUUGGGGGCAUUAGUAUUCAAUUGUCAGAGGUGAAAUUCUUGGAUUUAUUGAAGACUAACUACUGCGAAAGCAUUUGCCAAGGAUGUUUUCAUUAAUCAAGAACGAAAGUUAGGGGAUCGAAGACGAUCAGAUACCGUCGUAGUCUUAACCAUAAACUAUGCCGACUAGGGAUCGGAUGAUGUUAUUUUAAUGACUCAUUCGGCACCUUACGGG
rnacentral:rRNA from 1 species